rnacentral:rRNA from 1 species
AAAACGACUCUCGGCAACGGAUAUCUCGGCUCUCGCAUCGAUGAAGAACGUAGCGAAAUGCGAUACUUGGUGUGAAUUGCAGAAUCCCGUGAACCAUCGAGUCUUUGAACGCAAGUUGCGCCCUAAGCCUUCUGGCCAAGGGCACGUCUGCCUGGGUGUCACAAA